rfam:Medicago truncatula strain A17 chromosome 1, whole genome shotgun sequence.
AUUUUCAGUUUUCCUCGGUAGUUUACUGCCGAAGUUUUCCUCGGCAGUUAACUGUCGAGGGACAU